rnacentral:rRNA from 1 species
AGAGUUUGAUCCUGGCUCAGGAUGAACGCUGGCGGUAUUAACACAUGCAAGUCGAACGGGCUCUUCGGAGCUAGUGGCGGACGGGUGAGUAACGCGUGAGAAUCUGGCUUCAGGUUCGGGACAACAGUUGGAAACGGCUGCUAAUACCGGAUGUGCCUUAUGGUGAAAGAUUUAUCACCUGAAGAUGAGCUCGCGUCUGAUUAGCUAGUAGGUGUGGUAAGAGCGCACCUAGGCGACGAUCAGUAGCUGGUCUGAGAGGAUGAUCAGCCACACUGGGACUGAGACACGGCCCAGACUCCUACGGGAGGCAGCAGUGGGGAAUUUUCCGCAAUGGGCGAAAGCCUGACGGAGCAAUACCGCGUGAGGGAGGAAGGCUCUUGGGUUGUAAACCUCUUUUCUCAGGGAAGAAUGAUGACGGUACCUGAGGAAUAAGCAUCGGCUAACUCCGUGCCAGCAGCCGCGGUAAUACGGAGGAUGCAAGCGUUAUCCGGAAUGAUUGGGCGUAAAGCGUCCGCAGGUGGCAAUGUAAGUCUGCUGUCAAAGCGUCUGGCUCAACCAGAUAAAGGCAGUGGAAACUACAUAGCUAGAGUAAGGUAGGGGUAGAGGGAAUUCCUGGUGUAGCGGUGAAAUGCGUAGAGAUCAGGAAGAACACCGGUGGCGAAAGNNGCUCUGCUGGACCUUAACUGACACUGAGGGACGAAAGCUAGGGGAGCGAAUGGGAUUAGAUACCCUAGUAGUCC